rnacentral:rRNA from 1 species
UGACAAAUCUGUCUGGUAGCAAAAUCUUCUGGAAAGUUGAGCCAUAGAGGGUGACAGCCCCGUAGGCGAAACUGGACGGACUCUCGACAAGUACCUGAGUACGGCGGGGCACGCUAACCCUGUCGGAAGCUGGGGGGCCCACCUUCCAAGGCUAAAUACUCUUGGUAACCGAUAGUGAACAAGUACCGUGAGGGAAAGGUGAAAAGACCCCCGGUAAGGGGAGUGAAAUAGAACCUGAAACCGUGUGCCUACAAUCGGUCGGAGCACUAUGGCCUUCGGGCAAUGUGUGACGGCGUGCCUUUUGGAGAAUGAGCCAGCGAGUUACUCUCAGUGGCAAGGUUAAGGCAGUGACAGCCGGAGCCGAAGCGAAAGCGAGUCUGAAUAGGGCGUAUAGUCGCUGGGAGUAGACACGAAACCGGGUGAGCUACCCAUGUGCAGGCUGAAGCGAGAUUAAUCUCUCGUGGAGGGCCGAACUCACUAAAGUUACAAAUUUAGGGGAUGACGUGUGGGUAGGGGUGAUAUGCCAAACGAACUUGGAGAUAGC